GACGAACGCUGGCGGCGUGCUUAACACAUGCAAGUCGAACGGAAAGGCCCUGCUUUUGUGGGGUGCUCGAGUGGCGAACGGGUGAGUAACACGUGAGUAACCUGCCCUUGACUUUGGGAUAACUUCAGGAAACUGGGGCUAAUACCGGAUAGGAGCUCCUGCUGCAUGGUGGGGGUUGGAAAGUUUCGGCGGUUGGGGAUGGACUCGCGGCUUAUCAGCUUGUUGGUGGGGUAGUGGCUUACCAAGGCUUUGACGGGUAGCCGGCCUGAGAGGGUGACCGGCCACAUUGGGACUGAGAUACGGCCCAGACUCCUACGGGAGGCAGCAGUGGGAAAUAUUGCACAAUGGGCGGAAGCCUGAUGCAACAACGCCGCGUGCGGGAUGACGGCCUUCGGGGGGUAAACCGCUGUCGCAUGUGACGAAGCGUGAGUGACGGUAAUGGGUAAAGAAGCACCGGCUAACUACGUG
rnacentral:rRNA from 1 species